GUGUCAGCAGCCGCGGUAAUACGGAGGAUGCAAGCGUUAUCCGGAUUCAUUGGGUUUAAAGGGUGCGCAGGCGGACUGAUAAGUCAGUGGUGAAAUUUUGCAGCUUAACUGUAAACGUGCCAUUGAUACUGUCAGUCUUGAGUUUGGUCAAGGUAGGCGGAAUGUGUAAUGUAGCGGUGAAAUGCUUAGAUAUUACACAGAACACCGAUUGCGAAGGCAGCUUACUGGGCCACGACUGACGCUCAUGCACGAAAGCGUGGGGAGCAAACAGGAUUAGAUACCCUGGUAGUCCACGCCGUAAACGAUGAUCACGCGCUGUUGGCGACACACUGUCAGCGGCUAAGCAAAAGCAUUAAGUGAUCCACCUGGGGAGUACGACGGCAACGUUGAAACUCAAAUGAAUUGACGG
rnacentral:rRNA from 1 species